UGGAGGACAGGAUUUGGAGAACCAUCCAGAUGCAGGGUUUUGACACGAAAAGUCAACAAUUCCUUUUCUCUCACAAAUGCUGUUUGUUCCGCUGAGAUUUUCUAACAGAUUGCUUUGGGUUCAAGGAUCUGGGUCCAUCCCGCAUCGCCUUGUGGAAAGACCAGCUCACCAGUCUCAAACAACCCCCAAUGAUGGAAAUUCCACCGGAUGAAAGCCUUCCCCCAGGAGGUAAUUGCAACUGGGCAACCUGGAAGUGCUUUAACAGACUUAGGAUUGGUGUAGGUCGUUCAAAGGUGUCACUAAGCAAAUGGGGAUAUACAACCAGCCCGACAACUUGUGAAUGUGGAACUGAGCCACAAACUAUGCAACAUCUCCUGCAAUGACCAUCACUAGAGGAACCCUGUACUGUUGCAGAUCUUGCUGAAUUCAAUAACAGGGCACAAAAAUGUGUCCAGUUCUGGCUGGGCCAUGUAUAGACUGUCCGUGGACAUGAUAAGAAGAAGAAUCUGGGUCCAUUAGCAAGACCAGAGUUUAUUGUUGAUCGCUUAAUGCUCCUGAAAAGUCAAGGAUUUACACUGUACCUCGGUGAUGCGCAAGUGGAACAGGUCAAAAGCUUUAAGUUCCUCGGGGUCAAUAUCACAAAUGACCUGACUUGGUCCAACCAAGCAGAGUUC